CUUCCGCAUUGCGCCGCGGCCGGGGGCGGAAGAUCCGCCCCGCGCGAGGGAAGGGGCGGGGCAUCAGGAGGGAGACCACGCCCACUCUGCGCCGACCGGCUGGGCCUGGCACCCGCGGGCGGCCCCAGCCUCAGUCUCCAGCUACCUUUGCCUCCUGCGGCCGCCCCCAGGCAGAGCUGCGAUCCCACCGCCGGGGGUGCAGGGAGAGGGAAGAUCUGGCCUCCUUGGUCCUUUUGCGUGGGCUCUUCAGAGCGUGAGCGCCGGGGAGGGACUCCGGAGAAAAGCUUGGGGGGCUGCGUAUUGCUGCUCCCCAAGCUGGGCGUCAGGACCAACCCCGCCGCCCCCACGGGCCUGACGGGAGAGGAGGAAGGGCUCGGGACGGUCGGCUCGCCGAGCCAACCAGGUGGCGCCUGAAGAGCUGUCCAUGGUGUCGACAGCCCAGCAAACGGCACCGAGUUCCUAGUCUGAGUGUCUGGAUAGGUAGCAGAAGAAAAACUAAUGCCUGCUCUGGGACAGUUCUGUUCGGUGCCUUUUCUUGUGUGUUCUGGAGCUCACAGGGUUCUAUCGAAGAGUGCUUAGGUGUAUACGAUGGAGAGUGGGACGUCACAAACCAGGAUCUCAAGGCUGAGUCCAACAAAACAUGGCCGUAGGGAGGCCACGACAGCUGUGGUUGUCACCGACGGAUGAAUAGCUUUUGCCAACCGUGGAAUUUAGUAACUAAAGGCACCUAACCCUUUUAUCUCAUCCUCAUUUUUCAACAAAUGGUGCUUCCUGGCUAAUAUCAGCGUGUCCCAUAGAUUUCUGCUUCCAUUGAAUAGACCUAAUAAGAAAGAGAAUGAAGUCAAAGCCAACAGGGCAGAAAGAAAUUGAAAACCUGAAGAACCCAGCACUCAAACUGUCUCCACUUGCGUUUGCUUUUUCUUUACCUCUUCUCCUUCUGGUUUUCAACAGCCAAAGCAGGAUUUAAAUUUGGUUAUGUUGCAAAAAUCAUUUCCCUCUUCAGGCCCUGUCAUGUGACUUGAUUUUUUCGUCCAUUUUAGAGAAGCUGUACCCACCCUGGUUUCAGGACACGGAACUAAAUUUAUUAGAAAAGAAGCCACUUCAAGUCAUGAAGGAGAAACACAAAGAUUCUUGGAUUUAGUUCUAAGAACUAGAGGGGAUUUCUAUGUCAGUACUGUCUCAGAAAAAACUGUUGAUAUCAAAUGUGUUGCUUGAGAAGUACCUUUUUUUUUUUGAGACGGAGUCUCGCUCUGUCCGCCCAGGCUAGAGUGCAGUGGCGCGAUCUCGGCUCACUGCAAGCUCCGCCUCCCGGGUUCACGCCGUUCUCCUGCCUCAGCCUCCCGAGUAGCUGGGAUUACAGGUGCCCACCACCACGCCCGGCUAAUUUUUGUAUUUUUAGUAGAGACAGGGUUUCACCGUGUUAGCCAGGAUGGUCUCGAUCUCCUGACCUCGUGAUCCACCCGCCUCGGCCUCCCAAAGUGCUGGGAUAACAGGCGUGAGCCAUCGCGCCCGGCCGAGAGGUACCUUUUAUGACAACUGAAAUCAUUCAGUUUCAAGAGGAGUUGGGUACUGAAACCAAACUUGCUUACUCCAAAGCCCAAAAUCCUUUCCACCAUGCCUGUGUGUCUGUAAGGCUACACUAGAAAUGCUUCCUUUCUUAUAGUGGGAAGCAUGGGUACUAAGCUCUUUUACGAACAAGUGUUCUGCAUAUUCCUGGUUCCUUUUUAUUUUGGACUGAGGAGAUUUAGGUCAAAAUUUCUGGGUUCUGGGUUGGAAUUCCAGCUUCUUUCUUCAAAUUAAACUGGGGGGUAGCAAGACUUAUUCCUAGAUUUGUUAGAAGGCCACAGCUUUUCCACAUCUCAUUUUAGUCAUGAAAAAGACACAUGCCCAGAGUUUGAAAAACAUAAAGGCAAUUUGACUAGUGGCUUGAUUGGUUCUAUCUUCUUUUUCUUGUCCCUCUUUCCUAUUUAUACUUCUACUUUUGUUACAGCAUUUGACAAUAGUUGGAAAAAUUUUCACUGACCUUGAAAUGUCUUUGGGAUAGGGUGACUUAAAAUAUAGGUUAAGUGGCAUACACAAACUUCUUAGUGAGAUCCUAAGGGCCUACAGAGACAGGCUGACACCAACUCAACCCUUGAAACUGUGCAAUGAAGAGCCUGUGGGAGGCUAAAAAACGCUACUUCAAAAAGAGAUCCUUGUCUGUGAAUGUUAAUUUAGGUUUACAGAUUUGAUUAAGGGUCUUGAGAUUAUUUUCAAUUAUCCAGGUGGGCCCUAGAGCCCUAGAUGCAAUCAUAAGUGUCCUUAUAACAGGGAGGCAGAGGAAAAUUAAACACGCACACAGGAGAGAGAGAGAGAGAAAAAAAAGUGAUGUGAAGACAGCAGCAGAGAUUGGAGCGAUGUGGCCAUAGCCAAGCUAUGUCAGCAGCCAUCAGAAGUUGGAAGAGGCAAGGAAGGAUUUGAGCCUAGAGCCUUUGGAAGGAGCAUGGCCCUGUUGGUUCUGGCCUCCAGAACUGCAAGAAAAUACAUUUUUGUUGUUUUAAACCACCCAGUUCAUGGUAAUUUGUAACACCAGCUACAAGAAAUUAACACAAGGCUGAUGUGACUUUCCAUCAGGAGAGAGACAGCCCCAGCCACCCUGUGAAGACGUGCCUUUCGUCAAGAUUGUAAGUUUCCUGAGGCCUUCCCACCCAUGCGGAACUGUGAGUCAAUUAAACCUCUUUAUAAAUUACCUAGUCUCAAGUAUGUCCCUAUAACAGCGUGAGAAUGAACUAAUACAAAUAUGUAGGGAUAAGAUAAAAUUAACAGAGCAAAUACAGUGCAUGACACUGUUCUGCAUAUUAUGUCCUGAUCAAGGGUACACAUGGGCCUGCUCACAGUCCCACUUUAUUAGAGUCAUUUGAAAUGCUGCAAAUUUAGUCGUCAGGAAAAUA
rnacentral:lncRNA from 1 species